CAGUAGCCGCGGGAAAACGUAGGGUGCAAGCGUUAAUCGGAAUUACUGGGCGUAAAGCGUGCGCAGGCGGUGAUGUAAGACAGUUGUGAAAUCCCCGGGCUCAACCUGGGAACUGCAUCUGUGACUGCAUCGCUGGAGUGCGGCAGAGGGGGAUGGAAUUCCGCGUGUAGCAGUGAAAUGCGUAGAUAUGCGGAGGAACACCGAUGGCGAAGGCAAUCCCCUGGGCCUGCACUGACGCUCAUGCACGAAAGCGUGGGGAGCAAACAGGAUUAGAUACCCGAGUAGUCCCUGUCUCUUAUAA
rnacentral:rRNA from 1 species